AGUGAACGCUGGCGGUAGGCCUAACACAUGCAAGUCGAACGGCAGCACAGUAAGAGCUUGCUCUUACGGGUGGCGAGUGGCGGACGGUUGAGGAAUACAUCGGAAUCUACUUUUUCGUGGGUGAUAACGUAGGGAAACUUACGCUAAUACCGCAUACGACCUACGGGUGAAAGCAGGGGAUCUUCGGCCCUUGCGCGAUUGAAUGAGCCGAUGUCGGAUUAGCUAGUUGGCGGGGUAAAGGCCCACCAAGGCGACGAUCCGUAGCUGGUCUGAGAGGAUGAUCAGCCACACUGGAACUGAGACACGGUCCAGACUCCUACGGGAGGCAGCAGUGGGGAAUAUUGGACAAUGGGCGCAAGCCUGAUCCAGCCAUACCGCGUGGGUGAAGAAGGCCUUCGGGUUGUAAAGCCCUUUUGUUGGGAAAGAAAAGCAGCAGGUUAAUACCCCGCUGUUCUGACGGUACCAAAAGAAUAAGCACCGGCUAACUUCGUG
rnacentral:rRNA from 1 species